rnacentral:tRNA from 1 species
GGGGGUGUAGCUCAGUGGUUAGAGCAGAGGACUCAUAAUCCUUUGGUCGCUGGUUCAAGUCCAGCCACCCCCACCA